GGCUCGGUAGCUUAGGUGGUAAAGCGCUCGUCUAGCAUACAAGAGUCCUGGGUUCAAACCCCAGCCAAGCUCG
rnacentral:tRNA from 1 species